GAGCUGUAGUUCAUCCAUGGUGGCCCAUAGUUGGGUCAGGGUUGAUGGUUGGCUUGUACCACAUGGUACAGAAGGCAUAUUCUGGCCCGUCACAGGCGGGUAAAUUGAGGUGCAUCUUUUUAAUGGUGUGGGUAAGAAGUAGGACAUAGCCUUCAUCCAUGAUAAAUCCAUAGUAGCUACCCCCCCUCAGGGAGUGGCAGAAGAGUGGACGGAUUCAGAACCUGACAUCUUUGAAGGGUAACAUUGUCAGGUAACAGGAGAUGACAUUGGAGACGAAGGUGCCUGGCAGGGGUGACAUGUUUGAGUUGGACCUGGUUAAGUAUGGCAGAAAUAUCAUGAGGUGCCAAAACAGUCAGAGGGUGGCCAAGAACCAGGUCCCCAGUGCGGUUGAUGAGUUCCUGAGCGGCAAAAACAGCUCGGAGGCAAGAGGGGGUUCCUCUAGCCACAAUAUCUAGUUGGCAAGAGAAGAAGCCAAUAGGCCUUUUGCGGCCGCCAGGUCCAUGGGCUUGAGUAAGGACUCCUGUAGCGUGGCAUUGUCUUUCAGACACAAAUAAUUUGAAUGGUUUGGUGUAGUCUGGCAAGCCAAGGGCGGGAGCAGAGGCAAUAGCACGUUGGAGAGUGUAGAAGUUGUCAUGUGCUUCUGAGGACAGACAGAACGGGUCUGAUUUAAGAGCAUCGUACAAAGGUUGCAUGAGUAGAGAGGCCUCUGGGAUCCACGCUCGGCAGUAAGAAAUGAGGCCUAGAAAGGCGUGGAGGGAUUUAGGAGUUUUU